rnacentral:rRNA from 1 species
AGGACCUUACUGCUAUCGGGAUGAGAGUAACUCAUGCACCUAGAGCUUUCUUCAUCUAUGUAGAGAGCGUGGCGAACGGCUCAAUAACAUGUAGUUAACCUACCGUCGGGGAUGAGAAUACCCCCGCAAAACUGGGAUUAAUACGCACUAGAUGAUGUAGCUGGAAUGGCUUAUCAUAUAAAGAGUCUGGAAACAUGCUUCCUGCGUCGCCAGAGGAUGGGACCGCGUCGGAUCAGGUAGUUGGUGGGGUAAUGGCCUACCAAGCCUAUAACCGGUACGGCCCCUGAGAGGGGGAGCCCGUAGAUGGCAUCUGAGAAAAGGUUCCAGUCCCUACGGUGUGCAGCAGGCGCGAAACCUCCACAAUGCGAGAAAGCGUGAUGGGGUUAUCCCGAGUACCGUCCGAUGAGGAUGGCUUUUUAUCGAUAUAAGGAUUCGAUAGAAUAAAGGGGGGCCAAGUUUGGUGUCAGCCGCCGCGGUAAUACCAGCCCCCUGAGUGGUAAGACCUAUUAUUUGGCCAAAAGCGUUAGUAGCCGCUUUAUCAAUUCUUUUGUUAAAUCCACGGAUUUAAUGGUUGGGCCGCAAAAGAUAUUGUUAUGUUAGAGGCCGGGAGAGGUCGACGGUUGUCCAGGGGUAGGGGGGAAAUCCUAUAAUCCUGGGAGGACCUCCAGUGGGGAAGGCGGUGGAUUAGAACGUCCCUGACGGUGAGGGACGAAAGCUGGGGGAGCGAACCGGAUUAGAUACCCGGUUAGUCCCAGUUUUAAACGAUCCGGGUUAGGUGUUGGGGCAGCCACGAGCUGCUCCAGUGCCGCAGGGAAGUUGUUAAGCCCCCGACCUGGGGAGUACGUCUCCAAGGAGGAAAAUAAAAGGAAUUGGCGGGGGACCCC